GAAUUCAACUCCUACGGGAGGCAGCAGUGAGGAAUAUUGGUCAAUGGACGAGAGUCUGAACCAGCCAAGUAGCGUGAAGGAUGACUGCCCUAUGGGUUGUAAACUUCUUUUAUACGGGAAUAAAGUGAGGCACGUGUGCCUUUUUGUAUGUACCGUAUGAAUAAGGAUCGGCUAACUCCGUGCCAGCAGCCGCGGUAAUACGGAGGAUCCGAGCGUUAUCCGGAUUUAUUGGGUUUAAAGGGAGCGUAGGCGGACGCUUAAGUCAGUUGUGAAAGUUUGCGGCUCAACCGUAAAAUUGCAGUUGAUACUGGGUGUCUUGAGUACAGUAGAGGCAGGCGGAAUUCGUGGUGUAGCGGUGAAAUGCUUAGAUAUCACGAAGAACUCCGAUUGCGAAGGCAGCUUGCUGGACUGUAACUGACGCUGAUGCUCGAAAGUGUGGGUAUCAAACAGGAUUAGAAACCCUAGUAGUCCAGGCGUU
rnacentral:rRNA from 1 species